rnacentral:lncRNA from 10 species
GGGAGGGAGGGAGGCCGCGGGAGCUGGAAGGCUGGCGGAAGCUGUGUCACAGCGCGCCCCUGCGCCCACCACCCAGACAAGAGAGAUCUAAGUCAGGCGUUGGGCAGGAGAUGGAGCUGAGGCAGGAGACUCGCUUGAACCCAGGAGGCCGAGGUUGCGGUGAGCCAAGAUCGAGCCAUUGCACUCCAGCCUGGGCAACAAAAGCGAAACUCUGUCUCAAAAAAAAAAAAAAAAAAAAAAAAAA